AUAACUGCUGGACAAGUCGAAACUUGGGCAGAUGAAGGGCAUCCCAUCCCUGGAAGUGUCCAAAAGGGAUACAGCAACUUUAUCGAGGGGUAUAUUCAUGACAUUAAAGUCAGGAGGAGAGAGGAUGGGUGCACAGUGAAAGCAAAGAUCCUUGAUUACUAGCUUUAACCCUCUCUGGUGAAAGCUAGGGCUAAUAAAGCUAUUUCCAUCCAUGAGGAAGACACAGACACCCUACACAGUUCAGGUGGACCUUUCAGCUGGAAAUCCAGUUAUCGGCGAGGUGAUAUGCAACUGCAAAGCUGGCCUGGGCCGUUGUGCACAUGUUAUUGGCUUACUGUACACAUUAGCACCCUACCAGAGGUUGGGAUUGAAGUCUGUCCCCCCUGGGCAAAGUUUAACACCUAAACCCAUUAAUUUAGUGGAAAUAAAUAAAAUAAAGCCACAGCAAAAUGAUCUGGCCCCUGCUACAAAGGUACGGAGUGAAGGGGUUGUCAGUAACCUUUAUUGUCCAGUGUCACUUCCCCUUCCUUGUAAAGACUUUGCAGAGAGAUUGCAAAGAAAUCAUAAUGAAAUAGGAAGCACAUGCCAGUUGGCAUCUUUAAUGAACUCCCAAAUGUAUGAGCCACAGUAUAUCCCAUCACCUUAUGGUGACAUUCCUCUCGGGUCUGUCCUGAGUUAUCAUAUUCAGCCUGUAGUAACCCCCUCUCAUAACUAUUCUCCCUUUGCAUUGCCUCUCUAACCUUGUAGCUUCACCACUGUUCUGAGUCAGAAAGAGUUGGAUUAUUAUAAUGGCAUUUCAGUGACACAAUCAGACUCUGAACAUAUAUAGAGAGAAACAAGGAACCAAAAUUACAUCAACUACCUUUAAAAGGGUGUGCUCAAGACGAGAUGACUUUGACAGUCUCGCUGUCAACUUAGAGGAAUAAAAGACAGGUACAAACAAAAGCUAUG